rnacentral:rRNA from 1 species
GAGGAAUAUUGGUCAAUGGACGAGAGUCUGAACCAGCCAAGUAGCGUGAAGGAUGACUGCCCUAUGGGUUGUAAACUUCUUUUAUACGGGAAUAAAGUGAGGUACGUGUGCCUUUUUGUAUGUACCGUAUGAAUAAGGAUCGGCUAACUCCGUGCCAGCAGCCGCGGUAAUACGGAGGAUCCGAGCGUUAUCCGGAUUUAUUGGGUUUAAAGGGAGCGUAGGCGGACGCUUAAGUCAGUUGUGAAAGUUUGCGGCUCAACCGUAAAAUUGCAGUUGAUACUGGGUGUCUUGAGUACAGUAGAGGCAGGCGGAAUUCGUGGUGUAGCGGUGAAAUGCUUAGAUAUCACGAAGAACUCCGAUUGCGAAGGCAGCCUGCUGGACUGUAACUGACGCUGAUGCUCGAAAGUGUGGGUAUCAAACAGGAUUAGAUACCCUGGUAGUCCACACAGUAAACGAUGAAUACUCGCUGUUUGCGAUAUACAGUAAGCGGCCAAGCGAAAGCGUUAAGUAUUCCACCUGGGGAGUACGCCGGCAACGGUGAAACUCAAAGGAAUUGACGGGGGCCCGCACAAGCGGAGGAACAUGUGGUUUAAUUCGAUGAUACGCGAGGAACCUUACCCGGGCUUGAAUUGCAACUGAAUGAUGUGGAGACAUGUCGGCCGCAAGGCAGUUGUGAAGGUGCUGCAUGGUUGUCGUCAGCUCGUGCCGUGAGGUGUCGGCUUAAGUGCCAUAACGAGCGCAACCCUUAUCGAUAGUUACCAUCAGGUUAUGCUGGGGACUCUGUCGAGACUGCCGUCGUAAGAUGUGAGGAAGGUGGGGAUGACGUCAAAUCAGCACGGCCCUUACGUCCGGGGCUACACACGUGUUACAAUGGGGGGUACAGAAGGCAGCUACACGGCGACGUGAUGCUAAUCCCGAAAGCCUCUCUCAGUUCGGAUGGGAGUCUGCAACCCGACUCCAUGAAGCUGGAUUCGCUAGUAAUCGCGCAUCAGCCACAGCGCGGUGAAUACGUUCCCG